UACGGAGGGUGCAAGCGUUAUCCGGAUUCACUGGGUUUAAAGGGUGCGUAGGUGGGUAAGUAAGUCAGUGGUGAAAUCUCCGGGCUUAACCCGGAAACUGCCAUUGAUACUAUUUGUCUUGAAUACUGUGGAGGUCAGCGGAAUAUGUCAUGUAGCGGUGAAAUGCUUAGAUAUGACAUAGAACACCAAUUGCGAAGGCAGCUGGCUACACAAAUAUUGACACUGAGGCACGAAAGCGUGGGGAUCAAACAGGAUUAGAAACCCCCGUAGUCC
rnacentral:rRNA from 1 species